GUGCCAGCCGCCGCGGUAAUACCGGCAGCCCGAGUGAUGGCCGAUAUUAUUGGGCCUAAAGCGUCCGUAGCUGGCCGAACAAGUCCGUCGGGAAAUCUACCAGCUUAACUGGUAGGCGUCCGGCGAAAACUGCUCGGCUUGGGACAGGGAGACUCGAAGAGUACGUCCGGGGUAGGAGUGAAAUCCUGUAAUCCUGGACGGACUACCGAUGGCGAAAGCACUUCGAGAGAACUGAUCCGACGGUCAGGAACGAAAGCUGGGGUCUCGAACCGGAUUAGAUACCCCGGUAGUCC
rnacentral:rRNA from 1 species